UCUGUAUUUUCUUAAUAUAAAAUAAAACCAAAAAUUAUAAAGAACUAAAUAGAAUUUCAGACUUUUUUUUUUAGGAAGCACUUUUACUCUAAUGAUUUGAUAAAAAAAAAUUAAUACUUCUACAUCAGAAGGUUUGAGUUUUGAAUCUCAAGAAAUGUGAUCUAUAACCAAUUAUGCUGAAUACUGGUAAAAGCUUACAUGAGAUUUUCUCAUUGUGUAAACAGAACCGCCAAGCAUAGAUAGCUCUUCAUAAAAACGACUUGAUAUGAGGCAACUAUGACUCAAAUAAAGUGUGCUUUGGUGUCAGUUCAAAUAAAUUUGAACCGGUUUGAUAUGUAGAGAAUUAUCCGGAAAUAAAUGCUUUUUUUUUGUCAGCAUUCGGAAAUAAAUGCUGGUGGAUUAUUUAAAAACUUAUUCUUAGGUUCACCAACCAAUAGGAUUGUGUCAUUUUAGAUUUAGUAUCUUUUAAAAAAAGAAACAAAAUAUUAUCGAAUUAUAUUAUAUUUUUAAAAUAAAAAUUGUAUUAAUCACAAAAAGAAGUUUUUUUAAUCGCAAAAAAAAAAAAAUAUUUUUCAACAGUAUUUUUAACGCUGCCAACAAAUAUUAAACCCUAAACCCUAAACCUAUAGGUAAACCCUAAACUCUUGAAUAAAUCAUAAAUCUUAAAGUUUAAGAUUUGAUCCAAGAGUUUCGGAUUUAUUCAAGGGUUUAGGGUUUACCUAAGGGUUUAGGGUUUACCCAAGGGUUUAGGGUUUAGGAUUAAGAUUUAGGGUUUAGUGUUUUGUUGAUUGUGUUAAAAAUAUUUUUU